ACGAACGCUGGCGGCGUGCUUAACACAUGCAAGUCGAACGGUGAAGCGCCUUCCUUUUUGGUGGGUGUGGAUGAGUGGCGAACGGGUGAGUAACACGUGAGUAACCUGCCCCCUUCUUCUGCAUAACCGCAUGAAAGUGUGGCUAAUACGGGAUAUUCUGGGUCUGUCGCAUGAUGGGUCUGGGAAAGAUAUUGUUUCGGUGGGGGAUGGGCUCGCGGCCUAUCAGCUUGUUGGUGGGGUGAUGGCCUACCAAGGCGGUGACGGGUAGCCGGCCUGAGAGGGUGGACGGUCACACUGGGACUGAGACACGGCCCAGACUCCUACGGGAGGCAGCAGUGGGGAAUAUUGCACAAUGGGCGCAAGCCUGAUGCAGCGACGCCGCGUGAGGGAUGGAGGCCUUCGGGUUGUGAACCUCUUUCGCCAGUGAAGCAGGCCUGCCUCGUUUGUGGGUGGGUUGACGGUAGCUGGAUAAGAAGCGCCGGCUAACUACGUG
rnacentral:rRNA from 1 species